rfam:Hymenolepis nana genome assembly, scaffold: HNAJ_scaffold0000239
GGGGUGCGAAAUAUACUUACCUCCACGUGAUGCACCCUGGGCAACGCAUACUUAGGCGGCAAAAAAGUCGAU